UGAGGAAUAUUGGUCAAUGGACGGAAGUCUGAACCAGCCAUGCCGCGUGCAGGAUGACGGCUCUAUGAGUUGUAAACUGCUUUUAUACGAGGGUAAAGUGGGCUACGUGUAGUCUUUUGAAAGUAUCGUAUGAAUAAGGAUCGGCUAACUCCGUGCCAGCAGCCGCGGUAAUACGGAGGAUUCGAGCGUUAUCCGGAUUUAUUGGGUUUAAAGGGUGCGUAGGCGGUAAUUUAAGUUAGUCGUUAAAUCGGAAGGCUCAACCUUCUCAUGGCGAUUAAUACUGGGUUACUAGAGAUUAGAUGCAGAGGGCGGAAUGUGUAGUGUAGCGGUGAAAUGCUUAGAUAUUACACAGAACACCGAUUGCGAAGGCAGCUCUCUAAUCUACAUCUGACGCUCAGGCACGAAAGCGUGGGGAUCAAACA
rnacentral:rRNA from 1 species